rnacentral:rRNA from 1 species
CCCGUCUUGAAACACGGACCAAGAGAGUGCAAGAGAUGCGCGAGUCGGAAGGGUUGUGUUGGGGCCGUUAGGCCUCGCCUGAGAGACCCAUGUGUUUGGAACGGGCGAAGUGAGAGCAAUUCAUGGGUGCGAGAGCCGGGGGGAGACCCCUGGCGCAUCGCUGGCCGAGCCGUAUGGUCACGCUGUGGCCGGUUUCGAGUGCGAGCGUAUCUGUUGCGWCCCGAAAGAUGGUGAACUAUGCCUGAGGAGGGUGAAGCCAGAGGAAACUCUGGUGGAGGCCCGUAGCGGUUCUGACGUGCAAAUCGAUCGUCGCACUUGGGUAUAGGGGCGAAAGACUAAUCGAACCAUCUAGUAGCUGGUUCCCUCCGAAGUUUCCCUCAGGAUAGCUGGAGCUCGUUCAGAGCAGUUUCGUCGGGUAAAGCGAAUGAUUAGAGGUAUCGGGGUUGAAAGGGCCUCGCCCUAUUCUCAAACUUUAAAUCGGCGAGAAGGGAUCGUCUUGCCUGCCGGAAGACGUCCCUCGAAUGCAGGGGCUCCAAGUGGGCCGUUUUUGGUAAGCAGAACCGGCGAUGCGGGAUGAACCGAACGCUGGGCUAUGGCGCCGGAGUCGACGCUGAGCAGAUACCAGGAAAGGUGUUGGUUGAUCCAGACAGCAG